UCCACCGCGUCAUUGUUUACACUUCUGAGUCUCUCUGACUUCACAUUCCCUGUCAGCCUUUCCCACUUCGUCCCGUCUCUUAGAAACGCGAAGCCAAAAUUAAACCCUAACUCUAGAUUGGCAAUGGCCAGCGAAUCCCAUGAUAAACACCGGAGGUCUUCAUCGUUGGAAUACGAUGCCGAGAGGUCCUCUAAGCGCCACAAGCAUCGUCACCACCGGCAUCACCACCGCAGCAAGAAACGCGAAGAGGAAACCAAACGUGAGGGUGACGAUAUCAAUCGCGCUUCUCCUUCUCCUCCUCCUCCUCCAGUGGCUAUUAGUAACUUUCGCCCCGAUGACGAUGUGGAGGAGGGUGAGAUUCUUGAAGAGGAGGGUUUCGGUUUCGGUGGUGGCGAGCAGGAGAUUGCGGAAAGGAAAUCUGAGUCGGACGAAGAGUCUCGGAAAAAUGUAACCUCUGGUGUUCACUCUCAAUGGGAUCAACGAAAUCUGGGACAUCGUGCUAAGCAUGGCUCGUCUGAUCAUGAAGUUGGUGUACUCGAAGAAGACAUUCAAGGGAACAAGGGUAGAAAUAUGAAGACACUGGAGGACGACAAGAAUGAAGAAGAUUUGUUGACUGAUUUCAAAUUCGAUAAGGAAGACAAAGCUUAUAGCUGUAGUGGUGUUGGUACUGAGAUUGGCAAUGAGGUUUCUUUUCCUAGAAAUUCAAGUGUUGAGCCUCAAUAUGGCUCAAGGGGCCAAGUCAAUGGAAUUUUGGGUCACAAAGAUGAAAAGAUGUGGCCGAGGGAGUCUGGGUCCCCUUCUAAAGGAAUUGGCAAGGAAAAUACUAAUUAUGAUGAUGAAAAGGUCGAGGUUUAUAGAAGCAAGUUAAGCAUUCGGGGAAACUCGUCCUCUCAAAGCAUAGGGGACCAUGAGGAAAUUCGUACCAGGAGCCGAUCUAGGUCAAUUUAUCAUGCUAGGGAGAGAUCUCAUUCCCGUAGCAUAAGAGAAGAGGAGGAGGCUCAUUCAAAAAAAGAACGUUACUACGAGCAUGGUGCCUCAUUAUCUACUGAUAAAGGUAAGUUUGCGUAUGCCUCUGAUGAUGAAAGGAUGGCUCGGCAAAGUAAGGACAGAUGGCAUUAUAGUAGAGAUGUAGUCAGGGAUGUGGAAAGGGAAUGUAGUCCUAGUUACAAGAGGUAUAUUGGAGAGGACAGGCUUAGGAGUUGGGUUACACAAGGGAGAGAGAGGAAUAGGGAUAGGGAGAUGCACAGGGAGUUGAGGAAGGAAAAGGAACGGGAGAGGAUCAGAAACAGUGAGAUGGAUAGGGCUCAAAGGAGGGAGAAAGAACGGGAAAGGAGUAGGGAUAGGGAUAGGGAAAGGCGGAUAGAACAAGAUAGAAGUAGGGAAAGAGAGGUGGACAGGGAUAGAAGGGAGAAGGAAAGGGAAAAUACCAAAGACAUGGAGGUAGAUAGAUAUGGGAAAAGGGAGAAGGAAAGAGAUAGGAGCAAAGCUAGUGAGAGAGACAGAGUUAAAGACACAGAAAGGGAGAAGGAUAGGGACAAAGUUCGGAAGGAGAGGGAGAACGAUAGGGAGAGGCAAAAUGACAGAAAUAGGAAUAAGGAUAGGAGCAUUAUGAGGGAUAAGGAGAAGUAUGAAUUUCUUGAGGAUGGCUAUGAGAAUGGAGAUAGAUAUAAACAUCCUAGAUAUUCGAGACAUGAUGAAAAGUAUUACGACCAGGACAAAACGAAAAAAGCGCAUUCAACAAAGGUUUCUGGUUCUAGGAGUAAUUCAUUGGAAGGAAAUAGAGGCAAACUGAGGAGACAUGAUGAUGAACAAGGAGACUACGAAGAAGGGAUUGCGUUGCAGUUUGGUGAGCAGGAAGAGGAGGAUCUCAACAGAAUCAAGGAGGAGAGUAGAAGGCGACGACAAGCCAUCCUUGAAAAAUAUAAGAGUCAACCACGAUCAGAAAAUAUAGAGAAAGAUAAGGAGCCUGCACAUGAUCCUGAUCAAUCAGUAGCUGCUACUGAUGUUGUUCCUGAAGUUGGUGAUGGUAGGAGUGAUGGGUUAGAUGUCUAUGUCACUGAACCAUCAUUUUCUGUUGGGAAAUCACCUCCAAAUGGGGUUGCUGCUUUGGAGAAGACUAUCGGUGCUGGGGGCCUUGGAGAGGGCACUCCGAAGAGUGAGAGUUCAGAUGACAAGUUCUGUGAUGAUAUUUUUGGUGAGACACCAACAGGAGUUCGCAAAUUGUGCAAAGGAGAUGGUUUACAAAUUGAAAGGAGUGGUCUUCGUGACAAUUGGGAUGAUGCAGAGGGUUAUUAUGGCUACCGGUUUGGUGAAAUACUUGAUGGCCGAUAUGAAGUUACUGCUGCUCAUGGCAAGGGUGUAUUUUCUACUGUAGUUCGUGCAAAGAAUCUAAAGGCUGGUAAUGGUGAACCGGGGGAAGUGGCAAUAAAAAUUAUACGCAGUAAUGAUACAAUGUACAAGGCUGGUUUGGAGGAGCUAGUCAUAUUAAAGAAACUAGUAGGUGCAGAUCCAGAUGACAAGCGCCAUUGUGUUCGAUUUAUCUCAAGUUUCAAGUACCGGAAUCAUCUUUGCUUAGUUUUUGAAUCUCUUCAUAUGAAUCUGCGUGAGGUUUUAAAGAAGUUUGGGCGCAAUAUUGGCCUUAAGCUAACUGCUGUGAGAGCAUAUGCUAAACAACUUUUUAUUGCCCUGAAGCAUCUGAGAAAUUGUGGUGUUCUUCAUUGUGAUAUAAAACCGGAUAACAUGCUGGUAAAUGAGGCAAAAAAUAUGCUGAAGCUUUGUGACUUUGGCAAUGCUAUGUUUGCUGGUAAAAAUGAAAUUACGCCAUACCUUGUAAGCCGCUUUUAUCGUGCCCCUGAAAUAAUUCUUGGCUUGCCUUAUGAUCAUCCAUUGGAUAUUUGGUCAGUGGGUUGCUGUUUGUAUGAGCUUUAUACGGGAAAGGUUCUUUUUCCAGGUGCUACAAACAAUGACAUGCUACACCUUCAAAUGGAAUUGAAGGGCCCUUUCCCAAAGAAGAUGCUCCGCAAGGGAGCAUUUACGGUUCUCCAUUUUGAUCAGGACUUGAAUUUUCAUGCUACAGAAGAUGAUCCUGUUACGAAAAAGACUAUAAAGCGGAUAAUUCUCAAUGUAAAGCCUAAAGAUAUCUCUUCAAUUAUUACAGGCUCUCCUGGUGAGGAUCCGAAGAUGUUAGCCAAUUUUAAAGACCUUUUAGAAAAAAAUUUUGUGUUGGAUCCAGACAAAAGGAUGACAGUGUCACAAGCAUUGACCCAUCCAUUCAUCACGGGCAAGUGAACAAUGUUGCUGAUUUUAUGACUCCAGAAAUGAUGUUCCGCUAGAUGUUUGUACAUUAUAGCCUCAUUUAUUUUGAGUUUCUAAUUACUGGGCAUUAUCUGUCUUCUCUGUGUUGGCCUAAGAACUUCGACACAGUUUUGGCGUGGUUGAAGUCAAAAUGGGGUGAUGUUUGGUCUGGAGUUCACUUUGCUGGCGGGUUCUUUCGUGGAUUGUACUGUUUCUAUCGAUGUCCACCACUUCUUUGAGGCAACCCUCCACUGCUUAGAUGCUUAAAAGGCACCCAGGAGAAGAUUCUUUUUGGAUGUGUGCCAGCGGUCCAGUGAUGUGACAUUUCUAGAAUAGAUGUGUCAUAAUUUUUCAGAGUCUGGUCAUUCUGGAGGCACUUGCACUGGAGGUCUACGGCUGCAGUCUUGAUGAAAAUGAAUUUAUUGGGUACCGGAUGCUCCUGUAAUCAUUGUAAGUAUAUUUUCUAAUUCCAUUUUCAUGUUUUAUCUUUUUCCCCUUUGCCACAAUCUUUGGUUUAUGAUGUUUGGUUUCUUGUAAUUUUCAUUUUUUAUUCAUGGUUUUUUCCUUCUAGAUAUUUGGCAUGCUCCAUGAAUUGAUUUUGUGUUGUAUAAUUUUAGAUUGAGAAAAUAUAUUUGUAAUUGUGAAUUAUGCAACCGUUGCGUAAUCGCUUUGAAAAAAGUAAAUAAAAUGAGACCCACAUGAAAAAAAUUAAUUUUUUAAUAGUGGAUCCCACUCUUUUUCAAAGUGAUUACGCACUUCAUGGUUGUUUUAGAUUUGUAAUCAAUGCCUUCUAAUGUGAAAGCACAAGGUGUGGUGAUUUACUCAUUAUGAGCCAAGGGAUAAGCCUUGAAGUAUAAGGUGCAACCCCUUUUGGUUCUUGACUAAUAUUAAUGUAUAUAUUAUUGAAAACUUUAUAAAAUUACUGAAAUUAAGAAAUAACUCUGAUUGAUAAACGUUUUCUUAUACAUUUCGACCUUACAAUCUUGUCCAAGACUUUCAAGGUCUGUGAUUGUAUCCUCUUGCAUGUAAGUUAGAGGCUCCAGUGUAAGGAAGACUAAUAUGAGCUAUAUAAUCACUGGUCAAAAGAAGAGGUAGGAGUGGUGAUUAAAUCCUAGACCCAAUCAUUGCCCAUGUUCCAAGAUCUCACUUGAUUCAUGCAUCUGCCUCCUUUGUUUCAGAGCAUGCGUUAACCUGCUUUUGGUCCUCCUUUGCUAUCGCUGCUUUUUAGCCUCAUCUAAACUAGCCAUUAGCAAAAGGUUACCGUGAGUGGUUGGGAUUUUUAUUGGUUAACAGGGGCAAUGUUCAUUUUAAAUAAUUUGGUUCUCUGUUGAGAAACUUCUUGUUUUCUGUCUUAUGAUUGAAAUAAAGGUUGGAAUGUUGUUUGUUGGUAACUGUACCAUCUUAGAAUUGAACUAGCUUUAAAUAGCACAACCUGAGUUGAAAUGUUGUUUGUUGGUAUUAUAACCAUUUCCCAGAAUUGAUUUAGCUUAAAAUGUCAUUCCCUACCUACACAACAAAUUUGGAAUACUAACUUUGCUUCCCAAGAUGCAUGAUUGGAAUGUAUGGUAUGCUCUCUGAGCAUCUGACAACAACUAUUAGUCAAAAUCAUGGAGACAUGAUUGGUGUCGUGUCUGGCAAAAGAUGUGAUUGAUAAAGGAGUGAAUCUUCUAGUUUAGAAAAGAGUAAAUCUUAUACUUGUAACGAUUAUGUAAGUUUUGGUGAUUUACGGUACGAUUUUCCUGUCUGUGCAGAUAUUUGAAUUUACAGUGUAUUGUGUUUUUGUCUCUCUGUCAUCAUCAUUUUGUGGUUGUGAUCGCCUAAUUUCAUAUGUUCUUAAUGCAGGUUUUCUUUAGUAGCAUAGCUUAUCUGUUCAUUUUAGCCAUGAUUGUUUGUAUUAUGGUUUUUUCCCCCUCGUUAUGUUUUUCAUUUUUAUUGGGAGUCAAAUUUGCCAAACAUGUGGUACACCAUGGAGUUAGCUACCGUCCCUAGUCUUCUAGUGACUAGCAUUCUCUUCUUUUUUUUUUUUUUUUUUUUUUAAAUUUUCUUUGAUAAGUAAAGUAGGGAUUUUAUUAAUGAAUAGAGGAAGAAACUUCAGUACAUGGGACAUGUACAUAAAAUCUACUUGACUAUCAAAAGGAGAAAGGGCUAGAAAAUCCUGAAAUUUUGAACUAGAGAGGGUAACAUCAGGUUGGGAAAUUAAGCAAUGCUACAGGGUGACGGGUGUUAAGAACAAAAAUCCUGCAUUCUCUUUUUUAACUUGCACUAUCUUUCUAUAAUCAACAAAACUCAAUACAGUACCUUCAACAUUAUUGCUAUUGAACUAAAAAAACAAGUUUUUAUGACAAAAGUGACGAUUUCAGAUUAGAGUUAUUUAUGUUGGACGUAUUUGGAAACCUGCUUGAUUUUUGGGGUUUGCAAGCUUGUGAUUUUUGUACUUGUUCUAAUGGUGGAAGUUGGAAAGGCUGGGAUUUGUUAGUUGUUUAGGUUGACUAACGGCUUAUCAUGAGGAGAGAUUAGUUUUCAUAAAUGUUCUGGUAGCAGCUGGUUUGAAUGUAGGUUUAAUGGGGCAAUUGUUGGCAAAAACUCUGGACCAGUUGGGUGCAAAGGCUUCAAAGGUAUGAGAUACACUUGCCCUUAAAAAAAAAAAAACAAAUUGUCAAAAAAUGAGAUGCAAGGUAUGAUUUGGAGCUGAAAGAGCUAAGAGAAGAUUGAGAUUAAGUGGCCGUUCUUGGCAUCAUGCCAUGGUGAACACCUGAGAUUUGUGAAUAUAGGAAGAGAAGAGUAGUUAAUAGCAUAGUAUGAGAGGAUAAGAUGGUAUGGGAACCAUGGAAAUGGACACGGGACACAGCUGAGGCACAUGUUUAUAGCAAAACUUAGAAAAGGUGAUAUCAAAACAUGCUACUAACCUGAAGUUCAAUUUUCUUUCGCUUCAAAGAAUCCUAGUCUUUAGAAUUUCCCCCCUUAGGCAUUUUGUUGAAAAAAUAGUAAGCAUAAGCAUAAACACAAUA